UAGGGAAUCUUCGGCAAUGGACGAAAGUCUGACCGAGCAACGCCGCGUGAGUGAAGAAGGUUUUCGGAUCGUAAAACUCUGUUGGUAGAGAAGAAUGUUGGUGAGAGUGGAAAGCUCAUCAAGUGACGGUAACUACCCAGAAAGGGACGGCUAACUACGUGCCAGCAGCCGCGGUAAUACGUAGGUCCCGAGCGUUGUCCGGAUUUAUUGGGCGUAAAGCGAGCGCAGGUGGUUUAUUAAGUCUGGUGUAAAAGGCAGUGGCUCAACCAUUGUAUGCAUUGGAAACUGGUAGACUUGAGUGCAGGAGAGGAGAGUGGAAUUCCAUGUGUAGCGGUGAAAUGCGUAGAUAUAUGGAGGAACACCGGUGGCGAAAGCGGCUCUCUGGCCUGUAACUGACACUGAGGCUCGAAAGCGUGGGGAGCAAACAGGAUUAGAUACCCUGGUAGUCCACGCCGUAAACGAUGAGUGCUAGAUGUAGGGAGCUAUAAGUUCUCUGUAUCGCAGCUAACGCAAUAAGCACUCCGCCUGGGGAGUACGACCGCAAGGUUGAAACUCAAAGGAAUUGACGGGGGCCCGCACAAGCGGUGGAGCAUGUGGUUUAAUUCGAAGC
rnacentral:rRNA from 1 species